ensembl:lncRNA
ACUAAAUUAACCCAUUAGCAGAGCUGUCACAUGGAUGUUUGAACAUGGUGUCCUUUGGCACAGCAGGCACUGGCUUGCCCUUGUGUCACACUCAACUCACCAGGGGCUGGAUUGUGUCUGCUGAGGGGCACUUCUGCCAGCUGCCCAUGUCACACCUCCUCGUUUGCCAUGCUAUUUGAGUGCUUAACAUACAACAUGUGAAUCAGUGGCGUUGGCUUAUUUAUCUGUUUGAAAUUUCAGAGACAAUUGCUUUCUCACCCUGAUGGGAGCUGUGCCGAUGCAAACCAGUUAGAUUCCCACUCCACUCCAACAAGUGAAAUCUGGCAACUGGUCUAUCAAUCUACCAUGCGGAAUGUUUUGGAGUCUCCAAAACGAGAAUUCAACCCUCAGAGGAAGCGUAAAGAGAAAUGGGUGUGCAUAAUUGCAGAAUGUCAGCAGGAACGGCUGGAGAUGUGCUCAGGGUUUUCAUCGAGGCAGCUGCCCAGACUUGCUACAUUCAGAAACAGCUGGUGCCGUCCAUCCAGCCCAGGCAAGCGCAGGUGGGCCUGUCACGACUGACCGCCCCAUCCCUGACCCAGCCUCCACCAUACGGCCCACAGCAGCCAGAGAGGAGGCUGUGCCAAAACUGUGUCACUCACAAAGACUGAAAUAAAAUGGAAGAUUUGGUACCCA